rnacentral:sRNA from 1 species
UUGAAUGUCAUGGAAACUAAAUAUGUCUAUUCACAGAACAGGUAAGGCAUGGGUAGCAGCAGCACAUGCUUCAUCACACUAACCUGCCAAUGUGCCUUACCUCUGACCUAGAAUAACCGCUUCUUCAGUGUUCAUGACCAUUUAGUAGAGCUAUGCA